UACGGGGGGAGCAAGCGUUGUUCGGAUUUACUGGGCGUAAAGGGCGCGUAGGCGGCCACCGCAAGUCGACUGUGAAAUCUCCGGGCUUAACCCGGAAAGGUCAGCCGAUACUGCGGGGCUAGAGUGCAGAAGGGGCAACUGGAAUUCUCGGUGUAGCGGUGAAAUGCGUAGAUAUCGAGAGGAACACCCGUGGCGAAGGCGGCCAUCUGGACCAGCACUGACGCUGAGGCACGAAAGCGUGGGGAGCAAACAGG
rnacentral:rRNA from 1 species